GACGAACGCUGGCGGCGUGCUUAACACAUGCAAGUCGAACGGGCCCGCUCCCUUUUUUGGGGGUGGGUUGAGUGGCGAACGGGUGAGUAUCACGUGAGUAACCUGCCCCCUGCUCCUGGAUAACUGCUUGAAAGGGCGGCUAAUACGGGGUGUGCCGGCUGGUCCGCAUGGGCCUGGUCGGGAUAGUUUCAUCUUCGGGUGUUUCGGUGGGGGAUGGGCUCGCGGCCUAUCAGCUUGUUGGUGGGGUGAUGGCCCACCAAGGCGGUGACGGGUAGCCGGCCUGAGAGGGUGGGCGGCCACACUGGGACUGAGCCACGGCCCAGACUCCUGCGGGAGGCAGCAGUGGGGGGUAUUGCACAAUGGGCGGAAGCCUGAUGCAGCGACGUCGCGUGAGGGAUGGAGGCCUUCGGGUUGUGAACCUCUUUCUCCGGUGGUGAAGGCCCUGUCCGUUGCGGCGGGGUUGACGGUAGCCGGGUAUGAAGCGCCGGCUAACUACGUG
rnacentral:rRNA from 1 species